rnacentral:rRNA from 1 species
CCUACGGGUGGCAGCAGUGGGGAAUAUUGCACAAUGGGGGAAACCCUGAUGCAGCAACGCAGCGUGAGUGAAGAAGGAUCUCGGUAUGUAAAGCUCUAUCAGCAGGGAAGAAAAUGAAAGUACCUGACUAAGAAGCCACGGAUAACUUCGGGCCAGGAGCCGCGAUAAUACGUAGGGGGCAAGCGUAAUCCGGAUUUACUGGGUGUAAAGGGCGUGCAGUAGGAGAGACAAGUCAGAUGUGAAAGUCACGGGCUCAACCCGUGAAUUGCAUUUGAAACUGUUUGCCUUGAGUGUCGGAGAGGUAAGCGGAAUUCCUGGUGUAGCGGUGAAAUGCUUAGAUAUAAGGAAGAACACCAGUGGCGAAGGCGGAUUACUGGAC